UACGUAGGGGGCAAGCGUUGUCCGGAUUUAUUGGGCGUAAAGAGCGUGUAGGCGGCCAUGUAGGUCCGUUGUGAAAACUCGAGGCUCAACCUCGAGACGCCGAUGGAAACCAUGUGGCUAGAGUCCGGAAGAGGAGAGUGGAAUUCCUGGUGUAGCGGUGAAAUGCGCAGAUAUCAGGAAGAACACCCGUGGCUAAGGCGGCUCUCUGGAACGGUACUGACGCUGAGACGCGAAAGCGUGGGGAGCGAACAGG
rnacentral:rRNA from 1 species